GACGGGGGAUGCGAGCGUUAUCCGGAAUUAUUGGGCGUAAAGCGCCUGCAGGCGGUCCGGCAAGUCCGAGGUCAAAUACCACGGCCCAACCCUGGGAAGGCAACGGAGACUGUCGGACUAGAGGAUGGUAGAGGUAGGGGGAACUCCUAGUGUAGCGGUAAAAUGCGUAGAUAUUAGGAAGAACACCAGCGGCGAAGGCGCCCUACUGGACCAUUUCUGACGCUCAGAGGCGAAAGCUAGGGGAGCGAGAGGG
rnacentral:rRNA from 1 species